rnacentral:rRNA from 1 species
CCUACGGGCGGCAGCAGUGGGGAAUAUUACACAAUGGGGGAAACCCUGAUGCAGCGACGCCGCGUGAGUGAAGAAGUAUUUCGGUAUGUAAAGCUCUAUCAGCAGGGAAGAAAAUGACGGUGCCUGAUUAAAAAGCCACGGCUAACUACGUGCCAGCAGCCGCGGUAAUACGUAGGGGGAAAGCGUUAUCCGGAUUUACUGGGUGUAAAGGGAGCGUAGACGGCAGCACAAGUCUGGAGUGAAAUGGCGGGGCUUAACCCCGGAACUGCUUUGGAAACUUGGCAGCUAGAGUGCAGGAGAGGUAAGUAGAAGUCCUAGUGUAGCGGUGAAAUGCGUAGAUAUUAGGAGGAACACCAGUGGCGAAGGCGGCCUACUGGACUGUAACUGACGUUGAGGCUCGAAAGCGUGGGGAGCAAACAGGAUUAGAUACCCUAGUAGUC